rnacentral:rRNA from 1 species
ACUCAAAUGAAUUGACGGGGGCCCGCACAAGCAGCGGAGCGUGUGGUUUAAUUCGAUGCGACACGAAGAACCUUACCUGGGUUUGACAUGAUGGUAGUAGUGAAGCGAAAGCGGAACGACCCGUCAGGGAGCCACCACAGGUGCUGCAUGGCUGUCGUCAGCUCGUGUCGUGAGAUGUUGGGUUAAGUCCCGCAACGAGCGCAACCCUUGUCGCUAGUUACACGUGUCUAGCGAGACUGCCGGUAUCAAGCCGGAGGAAGGUGGGGAUGACGUCAAGUCAGCAUGGCCUUUAUAUCCAGGGCUACUCACACGCUACAAUGGGCAGUACAGUGGGAAGCGAAAGGGCGACCUGAAGCGAAUCCUAAAAAGCUGCUCGUAGUUCAGAUUGCAGGCUGCAACCCGCCUGCAUGAAGCUGGAGUUGCUAGUAAACGCAGGUCAGCGAUACUGCGUUGAAUACGUUCCCGGGCCUUGUACACACCGCCCGU